rnacentral:rRNA from 1 species
GACGAACGCUGGCGGCGUGCCUAAUACAUGCAAGUCGAACGAACUCUGGUAUUGAUUGGUGCUUGCAUCAUGAUUUACAUUUGAGUGAGUGGCGAACUGGUGAGUAACACGUGGGAAACCUGCCCAGAAGCGGGGGAUAACACCUGGAAACAGAUGCUAAUACCGCAUAACAACUUGGACCGCAUGGUCCGAGUUUGAAAGAUGGCUUCGGCUAUCACUUUUGGAUGGUCCCGCGGCGUAUUAGCUAGAUGGUGGGGUAACGGCUCACCAUGGCAAUGAUACGUAGCCGACCUGAGAGGGUAAUCGGCCACAUUGGGACUGAGACACGGCCCAAACUCCUACGGGAGGCAGCAGUAGGGAAUCUUCCACAAUGGACGAAAGUCUGAUGGAGCAACGCCGCGUGAGUGAAGAAGGGUUUCGGCUCGUAAAACUCUGUUGUUAAAGAAGAACAUAUCUGAGAGUAACUGUUCAGGUAUUGACGGUAUUUAACCAGAAAGCCACGGCUAACUACGUGCCAGCAGCCGCGGUAAUACGUAGGUGGCAAGCGUUGUCCGGAUUUAUUGGGCGUAAAGCGAGCGCAGGCGGUUUUUUAAGUCUGAUGUGAAAGCCUUCGGCUCAACCGAAGAAGUGCAUCGGAAACUGGGAAACUUGAGUGCAGAAGAGGACAGUGGAACUCCAUGUGUAGCGGUGAAAUGCGUAGAUAUAUGGAAGAACACCAGUGGCGAAGGCGGCUGUCUGGUCUGUAACUGACGCUGAGGCUCGAAAGUAUGGGUAGCAAACAGGAUUAGAUACCCUGGUAGUCCAUACCGUAAACGAUGAAUGCUAAGUGUUGGAGGGUUUCCGCCCUUCAGUGCUGCAGCUAACGCAUUAAGCAUUCCGCCUGGGGAGUACGGCCGCAAGGCUGAAACUCAAAGGAAUUGACGGGGGCCCGCGCAAGCGGUGGAGCAUGUGGUUUAAUUCGAAGCUACGCGAAGAACCUUACCAGGUCUUGACAUACUAUGCAAAUCUAAGAGAUUAGACGUUCCCUUCGGGGACAUGGAUACAGGUGGUGCAUGGUUGUCGUCAGCUCGUGUCGUGAGAUGUUGGGUUAAGUCCCGCAACGAGCGCAACCCUUAUUAUCAGUUGCCAGCAUUAAGUUGGGCACUCUGGUGAGACUGCCGGUGACAAACCGGAGGAAGGUGGGGAUGACGUCAAAUCAUCAUGCCCCUUAUGACCUGGGCUACACACGUGCUACAAUGGAUGGUACAACGAGUUGCGAACUCGCGAGAGUAAGCUAAUCUCUUAAAGCCAUUCUCAGUUCGGAUUGUAGGCUGCAACUCGCCUACAUGAAGUCGGAAUCGCUAGUAAUCGCGGAUCAGCAUGCCGCGGUGAAUACGUUCCCGGGCCUUGUACACACCGCCCGUCACACCAUGAGAGUUUGUAACACCCAAAGUCGGUGGGGUAACCUUUUAGGAACCAGCCGCCUAAGGUGGGACAGAUGAUUAGGGUG